rnacentral:rRNA from 1 species
UAGGGAAUCUUCGGCAAUGGACGAAAGUCUGACCGAGCAACGCCGCGUGAGUGAAGAAGGUUUUCGGAUCGUAAAACUCUGUUGUUAGAGAAGAACAAGGACGUUAGUAACUGAACGUCCCCUGACGGUAUCUAACCAGAAAGCCACGGCUAACUACGUGCCAGCAGCCGCGGUAAUACGUAGGUGGCAAGCGUUUUCCGGAUUUAUUGGGCGUAAAGCGAGCGCAGGCGGUUUCUUAAUUGUGAUGUGAAAGCCCCCGGCUCAACCGGGGAGGGUCAUUGGAAACUGGGAGACUUGAGUGCAGAAGAGGAGAGUGGAAUUCCAUGUGUAGCGGUGAAAUGCGUAGAUAUAUGGAGGAACACCAGUGGCGAAGGCGGCUAUCUGGUCUGUAACUGACGCUGAGGCUCGAAAGCGUGGGGAGCAAACAGG